CAAUGAUGGUGGGUGAGAGAGUGCAAAUGGAAGGUGCCGACAAUGGGGGAGAGAGAAUAGAUGAUGUGAUAGUUAAGAGCAACAGAAGAUUUAGUGUAGAUGAGAUUGGGAAGAGAGAGAUAUUGAUAGAUGAAAAAUGGAAAGAAAUUUGUUACGGUUUCUUAUUUUCAAAAUGGUUCUGAGAGAAGCGUAAAUAAUGAAAAUGCAACAAAGUCAUUGAACAAAAAGCUAAAACAUUACAGGAUACACUCUAAAGGUCACAUAAUCGUGCAUCCAACAUAUUUGCAUAAAUGGUAGCCAAAAAAUCCAAACUAUUCAGUUUUUAAAUCAG
rnacentral:misc_RNA from 1 species